CCCUUAGAUGUUCUGGGCCGCACGCGCGCUACACUGAUGCAUUCAACGAGCCUAUCCUUGACCGACAGGUCCGGGUAAUCUUUGAAUCUGCAUCGUGACGGGGAUAGAUUAUUGCAAUUAUUAAUCUUCAACGAGGAAUGCCUAGUAGGCGCAAGUCAUCAGCUUGCGUCGAUUACGUCCCUGCCCUUUGUACACACCGCCCGUCGCUCCUACCGAUUGGGUGUGCUGGUGAAAUGUUCGGAUCGGCCGUUUGUCGCGUUUUCCGCGUCAUGUGGCUGAGAAGUUCAUUAAACCCUCCCACCUAGAGGAAGGAGAAGUCGUAACA
rnacentral:rRNA from 1 species